AGCAGCCGCGGUAAUUCCAGCUCCAAUAGCGUAUAUUAAAGUUGUUGCAGUUAAAAAGCUCGUAGUUGAAUUUCGGGGUUAGUAGGUUGGUCAUGCCUCUGGUAUGUACUGGUCUCACUGAUUCCUCCUUCCUGAUGAGCCGUAAUGCCAUUAAUUUGGUGUCGCAGGGAAUCAGGACUGUUACUUUGAAAAAUUAGAGUGUUUAAAGCAGGCUCACGCUUGAAUACAUUAGCAUGGAAUAAUGAAAUAGGACGUUUGAUCCUAUUUUGUUGGCUUCUAGGAUUGACGUAAUGAUUAAUAGGGAUAGUUGGGGGCAUUAGUAUUCAAUUGUCAGAGGUGAAAUUCUUGGGUUUAUUGAAGACUAACUACUGCGAAAGCAUUUGCCAAGGAUGUUUUCAUUAAUCAAGAACGAAAGUUAGGGGAUCGAAGACGAUCAGAUGCCGUCGUAGUCUUAACCAUAAACUAUGCCGACUAGGGAUCGGAUGAUGUUAAUUUUUAAUGA
rnacentral:misc_RNA from 1 species